CGGGACACGUGGUAUCCUGUCUGAAUAUGGGGGGACCAUCCUCCAAGGCUAAAUACUCCUGACUGACCGAUAGUGAACCAGUACCGUGAGGGAAAGGCGAAAAGAACCCCGGCGAGGGGAGUGAAAAAGAACCUGAAACCGUGUACGUACAAGCAGUGGGAGCACGCUUAGGCGUGUGACUGCGUACCUUUUGUAUAAUGGGUCAGCGACUUAUAUUCUGUAGCAAGGUUAACCGAAUAGGGGAGCCGAAGGGAAACCGAGUCUUAACUGGGCGUUAAGUUGCAGGGUAUAGACCCGAAACCCGGUGAUCUAGCCAUGGGCAGGUUGAAGGUUGGGUAACACUAACUGGAGGACCGAACCGACUAAUGUUGAAAAAUUAGCGGAUGACUUGUGGCUGGGGGUGAAAGGCCAAUCAAACCGGGAGAUAGCUGGUUCUCCCCGAAAGCUAUUUAGGUAGCGCCUCGUGAAUUCAUCUCCGGGGGUAGAGCACUGUUUCGGCAAGGGGGUCAUCCCGACUUACCAACCCGAUGCAAACUGCGAAUACCGGAGAAUGUUAUCACGGGAGACACACGGCGGGUGCUAACGUCCGUCGUGAAGAGGGAAACAACCCAGACCGCCAGCUAAGGUCCCAAAGUCAUGGUUAAGUGGGAAACGAUGUGGGAAGGCCCAGACAGCCAGGAUGUUGGCUUAGAAGCAGCCAUCAUUUAAAGAAAGCGUAAUAGCUCACUGGUCGAGUCGGCCUGCGCGGAAGAUGUAACGGGGCUAAACCAUGCACCGAAGCUGCGGCAGCGACGCUGAUGCGUUGUUGGGUAGGGGAGCGUUCUGUAAGCCUGCGAAGGUGUGCUGUGAGGCAUGCUGGAGGUAUCAGAAGUGCGAAUGCUGACAUAAGUAACGAUAAAGCGGGUGAAAAGCCCGCUCGCCGGAAGACCAAGGGUUCCUGUCCAACGUUAAUCGGGGCAGGGUGAGUCGACCCCUAAGGCGAGGCCGAAAGGCGUAGUCGAUGGGAAACAGGUUAAUAUUCCUGUACUUGGUGUUACUGCGAAGGGGGGACGGAGAAGGCUAUGUUGGCCGGGCGACGGUUGUCCCGGUUUAAGCGUGUAGGCUGGU
rnacentral:rRNA from 1 species